UACGGAGGGGGCUAGCGUUGUUCGGAAUUACUGGGCGUAAAGCGCGCGUAGGCGGAUCUGCAAGUCGGGGGUGAAAUCCCGAGGCUCAACCUCGGAACUGCCUUCGAUACUGCGGGUCUCGAGUCCGGGAGAGGUGAGUGGAAUUCCUAGUGUAGAGGUGAAAUUCGUAGAUAUCUGGAGGAACAUCGGUGGCGAAGGCGACAUCCUGGACCGGUAUUGACGCUGAGGCGCGAAAGCCAGGGGAGCAAACGGG
rnacentral:rRNA from 1 species